ACAAAAGAUCAAAAUACUCCAACAAUAUUACAUAGCAACAAUAAACAACUAUGUAAUCCCUAAAAAAAUGGACAAUUUAUUAUGGUGUAGAUCUAAAACAAUGAACAAUUUAUUCAAGGGAGCUUCUAUGAUGAAGUCGGGUAAAUGACUUCUUCGGUGAAGUCGUUUGAAUGGACCAAUCAGAUUUCAAGCCAUGACACGUCAGAUGUUAGGACAAAUUAUAAUAUGGAUCACUUGCUUCAUAUGUUCCACCGUGGACAAGUUUAUUUCAAGAUCUUAACGGUUAGGUUUACUUGGUGUCUAUGUUAUUGUGGUACACCCUUUACACAUGAUUUUUCUUAUAAUUCCAAAUCUCUCUCCUCUUUAUCACUCAUGCAUCUCUCAUAUUUCUUUAUCUUNNNN
rnacentral:lncRNA from 1 species